rnacentral:lncRNA from 1 species
AAAUUAAUUCUGCUGAAUUUUUUUGUAUGCAUAUUUUAAAAGUUGUUUUUUCUUGAUUUCAGUAUUUUCUUAAAUAAUAUGGAAAUAUCGUUUAGAACUCUUGAUUUAUUUAAUUGAAAAAAAAUCAUGAAAUAUUUAAAAAGUACAAGUUGAUCUAUGAGAAAAUAUGCAAUUUUCAUAUACUGAUUUUUCAAUAGUUAGUAUAAAUUUUAACAUACAUGUAAUGAGAAGAGACGAGGACUACACUGGCAAAAGAGUUACGAACAUGAAAAUUGAAGGAAGGAAGAGAAGACGACGACCCAAGAGAAGACGACGACCCAAUAUCUUGCCAGAAGGGAAUGGACAAAGGACAGAGCACAAUGGAAAAGCUCAUCAAAAACAGUGACCCC